CCAAGAGACGAGAAGAAAAUCUCCAAUCUGACAGGGGACAACAAGAGCUGAGACACGAGGGACGACAGGCUCAGGACAAAUCACCUUGUCAUUCUGAUUCUGAUGAUUAGUGCUCUAUUCUGGAAUAUAAGGGGAGUAAGAUCAAAAAGGGCCAUUCACAGGCUAAAAAAUCUUGUCCAAUUAACAACAUUCAGUUUGUAGCCAUCUUUGAACCUUUUAUUGAUAAACAAAAGAUAGAGGGUUACAGAAAGUUUCUUUUGGUGUUUCUGGAGGAACAACAAUCAAGUUGAACUACUCUGGGAAGGUGAACAAUAUAUUUCUCUUAACAUGAAAAAGGCUAUAGGAAACCAAAAUAUUUUUAUGUCAGCUAUUUAUGCUAAGUGAACUGUAACUGAAAGAAAGAAUCUCUGGGAAAGCUUAGAAAAGGAUUAUCAGCGAGUUAAUGGUCCUUGAUGUAUCAGAGCGGAUUUCAAUGUUAUUUUGGACCCAAACGAGAAGUUAGGAGGCAAAUCUCACAUGAUGAGUAAAAGUUUGGAGCUCCAGAUUUGUAUGGAUGAUUGUGGUUUGACAGAUAUUGGAUAUUCAGGAUCUACUUAACAGAAGUCCCAAAAAGAGAAUUUGGAAAAGACUUGACCGAGUUUUUAUCAAUGAUCUUUGGGAUCUACACUUUCAUAACUGUACUGUUAGACACUUAGCAAGAACAUGCUCGGACCAUAGACCAUAGAACACUUUCAUUGGAGGACCUCUUGGUAUUAAUCAUUCUCAACUUUCAAUUUGACAUGUUAUGAAUUCCUGGUGGCUCCAAAAAACUAGUAACAAUGUACAUAAACUUGUUUUCCAUAUAACCCGCAUCAUUAUAUGUUGGGCUCUUUGGAAGGAAACUUGUUCUUGUAGAUAUGGCAAGCAGAAAAGGUUUAAUUGCUACAAAAUGGAGCAGUUGGUGGGAUGGACAGUUCAAGCAACAAUUUCUAGAACUUUCUCAGGAUGCAAAUUAGCUCUACCUUGGAGUGAUCUUUGUCAGAAUAUUAUCAAUUUGCAACCCACUCUUAGAAUCAACCUGGUGUGCUGGCAGAAGCCUGAUUCGGGGUACCUGAAAUUAAACACUGAUGGAAGCUUCAACACGAAUGAUGGCAGAGCAGGACUAGGAGGUGCACUGAGAUAUGAACGUGGGGAGCUUAUUAUGACAUUUUCUAUCGCUGUGCAGUGCUCUAGUCAUAACAUAGCAGAAGCUAAGGCAGCAUGGUUUGGAAGCAAAUGGUGUAAACAAAAUGGUUACACAAACAUCAUCAUGGAACUGGAUUCACUUUUGAUAAUCAACAUGCUUAAGAAAAAUAAGGCUAGUAGCUCAGGUUGAAGAGAAUCAUAGAAGCUACUUCUUCAAUUCUAGAUCUUGCGAGUAUCAAGUUUGAGCAUUGCUACAGAGAAGCCAAUCAACUUGCAGACUGGCUAACAAAGAUGGCGAUGAACUCUCAAACUAGAAACAUUUAUCUUUCGGCUCAACAACUUCCCCAGGCCGCAAAAUGACUUCUCUUUCUGGCAAAGAAGGCGAUGAACUCUCAAACUAGCAACAUUUAUCUUUCAGCUCAACAACUUCCCCAGGCCGCAAAAUGACUUUUCAUUCUGGAUAAGAGACAAGUCCCGAGUAUAAGGUCUAAAGUUGAUAAGGAAUUUUUUUUUUUGUUAGUUAGGCUUCUCUUUUUGCUGCAGUAUUGAUGGGCAAUAAGCUGACUUUUGUGUUGUUAGCCAAUUUUUUUGAUGGAUAGUUUCUAUCCAUGUGUUGUAUUUAAACUUUUGUUAUGAUAUACAACACCUCCAGUGCUACUGGUUAUUAUUUUUUUAUUUUAAAGGCUUAACUUAGAAUACAGGUUGUGUCUACUCUUUAUUUUUUUUUGGAAAAAAGUAAUAAAUUUCAACAGUAAAAGGAAAGGCAAUAACACACCCAUAUACAAGAAGUAUAUCAAAUGUAGACAACCUUACAAAAGAUACAUUUUUAUGAAUAAAUCCGAUCUUCUAUACAUGUAAGAAGCAAGAAACUUGUGAGUGCACAAAAAAUAAAUAAGGGAUGAGGAAAAUUCUUCUCUACUUCAUCAAAAACUUUGUCAACAUAAGUGAUAAAGGGGCGACAAUCUUAUGUUUUGCAUCUUUUUUCCGUCUUCUAAAAGUCCAGCUAAACAUUGUUUCGUUCACACUAUUAACUGGAAUAAUUGCCUCUGCUAUCCAAAGUCUGUAAUGUUCUUGAGCUCUUAGCUGCCUAUUCAGUCAGAAACCAUUUUAUUCACAACAAUACCUUUGGAGGUUGGAGCUGCUUGUGAAGACUUCCAUAAUAUAGAAGCACAGGCUACAAGACUGAUCAAAGAAGCAUAGAUUUUUUAAAGAUACAAAAAAGAUGGAGAUAUUCAAGGAAACAAUGCAACAAGUGUAAAAGCAAUAACUACAAAAUCCAUGCCUCAACAUCAUAUGUACAAUGUGUCCACGUUUUUAAGCUAAAAUGACAUGUUUUUGGUUGAUAAAUUAUUUUUAGACUUGAACUUUUCUUAUUCUUCAAAUUGUCACAUGCCUGAUAAUUAAGUAGCAAAAAUAUGGAAGAAGUACAAAUGAACCAAACUUACCUAGUAACAUAAAAUGUUGAACAUUAAUCACAUCCGAUGGCAAGAGUUCUGCCUGAACCUCCUUCAUUAGUUACAACUGUUAUGAUUGGAACUUUCAGCCCAAACAUGCCCUUAAAUUGUCAUGAAAAUAUUGGA
rnacentral:lncRNA from 1 species